rnacentral:rRNA from 1 species
UACAGAGGGAGCAAGCGUUGUUCGGAAUUACUGGGCGUAAAGCGCGCGUAGGCGGCUUUGCAAGUCGGGUGUGAAAUCCCCAGGCUUAACCUGGGAACUGCAUUCGAGACUGCAUCGCUAGAGUAUCGGAGAGGGAAGUGGAAUUUCAGGUGUAGCGGUGAAAUGCGUAGAUAUCUGAAGGAACAUCAGUGGCGAAAGCGACUUCCUGGACGAAUACUGACGCUCAUGUGCGAAAGCGUGGGGAGCAAACAGG